GACAGAGGGGGCAAGCGUUGCUCGGAAUCACUGGGCGUAAAGGGCGCGUAGGCGGGAUGGCAAGUCAGUCGUGAAAUCUCUCGGCUCAACCGAGAAACGUCGGCUGAUACUGCCGUUCUUGAGGGAUGCAGAGGAGACUGGAAUUCCCGGUGUAGCGGUGAAAUGUGUAGAGAUCGGGAGGAACACCGGUGGCGAAGGCGGGUCUCUGGGCAUCUCCUGACGCUGAGGCGCGAAAGCGUGGGGGAGCAAACGGG
rnacentral:rRNA from 1 species